rnacentral:rRNA from 1 species
UACGAAGGGGGCAAGCGUUGUUCGGAAUUACUGGGCGUAAAGGGCGCGUAGGCGGCCGCCUUUGUCAGGUGUGAAAGCCCCAGGCUCAACCUGGGAAUUGCACUUGGGACGGGGGUGGCUUGAGUUCGGGAGAGGAGAGUGGAAUUCCCAGUGUAGAGGUGAAAUUCGUAGAUAUUGGGAAGAACACCGGUGGCGAAGGCGGCUCUCUGGACCGAUACUGAC